rnacentral:rRNA from 1 species
AUGAAAGAGGCAAAGCAGCAACUUUAUCAUGGUUGUACCAAGUUUUCGAGGUUCUCCUUUGUGGUAACGCUUCUUCAUUUGAAGUCAUACCAUAGGAUCACAAAUAGUGCAUUUACUGAUAUAUUGAAGAUAUUGGCUGAAGCAUUCCCUGAACCUAAUACACUUCCAAAAUUAUACGAGGAAGCAAAGAACCUUCUGAAGGAAUUAGGCCUUGGGUAUGUUUCUAUACAUGUGUGCUUUAAUAAUUGCAUUUUGUUUAGGAAGCAAUAUGCCAAUCAUGACAACUGCCCAGUUUGUGGCCCAUCAAGGUGGAAAGACCCUGCAAGAAAGAAGAUUCCACAGAAAGUGUUUGAGGCAUUUUCCAUUGGUGCCUAG